rnacentral:rRNA from 1 species
AUUGAACGCUGGCGGCAGGCCUAACACAUGCAAGUCGAACGAGUGGCGGACGGGUGAGGAAUGUCUGGGAAACUGCCUGAUGGAGGGGGAUAACUACUGGAAACGGUAGCUAAUAACGCAUACCAUCGGAUGUGCCCAGAUGGGAUUAGCUAGUAGGUGGGGUAAUGGCGCACCUAGGCGACGAGCCCGAGCUGUGCUGAGAGGAUGACCAGCCACACUGGAACUGAGACACGGUCCAGACUCCUACGUGAGGCAGCAGUGGGGAAUAUUGCACAAUGGGCGCAAGCCUGAUGCAGCCAUGCCGCGUGUAUGAAGAAGGCCUUCGGGUUGUAAAGUACUUUCAGCGGGGAGGCGUUACCCGCAGAAGAAGCACCGGCUAACUCCGUGCCAGCAGCCGCGGUAAUAC